UGUCGUCAGCUCGUGUUGUGAAAUGUUGGGUUAAGUCCCGCAACGAGCGCAACCCUUAUCCUUUGUUGCCAGCGGUCCGGCCGGGAACUCAAAGGAGACUGCCAGUGAUAAACUGGAGGAAGGUGGGGAUGACGUCAAGUCAUCAUGGCCCUUACGACCAGGGCUACACACGUGCUACAAUGGCGCAUACAAAGAGAAGCGACCUCGCGAGAGCAAGCGGACCUCAUAAAGUGCGUCGUAGUCCGGAUUGGAGUCUGCAACUCGACUCCAUGAAGUCGGAAUCGCUAGUAAUCGUGGAUCAGAAUGCCACGGUGAAUACGUUCCCGGGCCUUGUACACACCGCCCGUCACACCAUGGGAGUGAGUUGCAAAAGA
rnacentral:rRNA from 1 species